AAUGAACGCUGGCGGCAGGCCUAAAACAUGCAAGUCGAACGCCCUAGCAAUAGGGAGUGGCGCACGGGUGAGUAACAUGUGGGAAUAUGCCUUUUGGUACGGAACAACGUUUGGAAACGAACGCUAAUACCGUAUGGUCCCUCCGGGGUAAAGAUUUAUCGCCAAAAGAUUAGCCCGCACUAGAUUAGCUAGUUGGUAAGGUAAUGGCUACCAAGGCGACGAUCUAUAGCUGUUCUGAGAGGAAGAUCAGCCACACUGGGACUGAGACACGGCGCAGACUCGUACGGGAGGCAGGAGUGAGGAAUAUUGGAAAAUGGGUGCAAGCAUGAUCCAGCCAUGCCGCGUGAAUGAUGAAGGCCUUAGGGUUGUAAAAUUCUUUCCACGGUGACGAUAAUGACGGUAACCGUAGAAGAAGCCCCGGCUAACUUCGUGCCAGCCGCCGCCGUAACAC
rnacentral:rRNA from 1 species